rnacentral:sRNA from 1 species
GGGUCCGGCCGGGUGGGACCCGGGGUGACCAUCCGUGCCCCUCGCAGCCCGACGCCGAGGGUGCCUUCCGCCGCGGCCCGGGCCUGAACUUGACCAGCGGCCAGUACAGGGCGCCCGUGGCUGGCUUCUACGCUCUCGCCGCCACGCUGCACGUGGGUGAGGCCCGGGGUGUGGGAGGACCGCCCGCCCUGUCGUCCACCCCGCCGCCCGCCCGCGUGACCACGUCCCACCCUCCCCCGCAGCGCUCGGGGAGCCGCCGAGGAGGGGGCCGCCGCGCCCCCGGGACCACCUGCGCCUGCUCAUCUGCAUCCAGUCCCGGUGCCAGCGCAACGCCUCCCUGGAGGCCAUCAUGGGCCUGGAGAGCAGCAGUGAGCUCUUCACCAUCUCCGUGAAUGGUGUCCUGUACCUGCAGGUGCUGACUCACUGGUAGGAUCCACCCACCAGAGGAAAGAUCUAGAACGUCUUUACAGAUUGGAGACAGCCAGGCCUGCUGACCCAUCUUCCAAAUAGCUGAAGCAGAGACUUCCACCAGGGGUGCCAGGGCCUGGCUGGGUCCAGCAGCUCUUGGAUGAGCCUCCCAAGCAUCUUUCCCACUUGGGUGGCGAUGUGGCGCUCACAUUGGACAGGUGGUGGACGAGAGAUGGUCCCGAGAAAGGGUGGUCUUGGGAGGGCUGGUCCCAAGCCUGCUGUGCUCCUGUGGCAGUGAUGGGGCCUGGGGAUGGGGACGGCAGCUCUCAUCCCUCAUGAGGACACACAGGCUGUGAGCCUGCAGCCUCCUCAAAUGUAGCCUCCCACAUUUUCCCCCAAGUGCAGGACUGUCCCAGAGUAGGUAGUGAAGAGGACAAGGCCCUCGGCAGCGACCUCCAAGGGCUUCUACCUGCUGAGGAAGAGUUAACCCACUCCCUCCCCACACAACAGGCUACGAAGAACCUGGUGCCUCAGGACCUCCUGGGAGCCAAGCUGGUCUGGCAAGGGUGCUCAGGCCUGGGAGAGAAGGGAGCAAUGGCCAGUCACCUUCACUUUCUAACUAGCCUCCGGAUGAGGUGACUGCCGCCAGGCCUGAAUGAUCCCCAGGAGCCCAGCUUCCAAACCCCAACUCCGAAUCAAACAUCUCCAUCCCCAAGUGCACUAAUACACAAAAACCAAACACUCUGCCCUGGGAAAGGCCUGGCGCGAUUCUCAGUAGGACUCAUACCCACCCUACCUAGAAGUACUGGGCUGGCCUGGGUACUGCAUCCCGUGUGUUUUGAUAAGGGGGUGAUGUGGCCACGCCCUUAUCUAGAUUUCACUUUGUAUCCACUGGGCACAGAUAUUUUAGAGAACUUAUCUUUUACUCUUGAAAAAGCCAAAUAUCCACAUCUCUUUCAUUUUCUCAGUGUGUUAUGCAGCAGUUUAUUAAAGUAUUUAUUGUCUAA